GUUGCAAAACCGGACCAAAGAAAGGACAUAGAAGAUAAGACAAGGCAUGGGGCAUUUAGAUCAGUUAGCCACAACCCCACCCACAAAAACAGCUCUGUAGUUGGUUUCCAAAUUUGCAGUGGUUUCCUGUAGAUAAAGAUCCCUGAGCUAACAGUAACAGAGUUCAUCAUCAGGCCGUCCUCUUACAAUCCUGAAACACACACUCUUGCCAAGGAAAACGCUUAACUCACCCCAACUAAGGCCUAAAUUAUACCACUUCAACAGCUUGUGUUCAGGAUGGCCAGCCAUGUUAUACCUGUUGAAAACACAAGAAACGGCUUCACCAUCUUCACCCAUGUGAUCCCCACCACAAACAGCUCCAGGGGGGCUCCAGGAAGUCUCCACUCUCAGAGAGCCGAAAGCACUGGGGGUAAGAGGGGUACAAACACAGCUCUGACUGUCCAGAUACUAAUUGGGAUUGUGACCUAUUUGUUUGGCAUUGUGUCAGCAGUCCACUUUAACACCAUAUCUGGCUACAGUAACAUGAGCCGCUGGGGAUCAAUGAUCGUAUG